rnacentral:rRNA from 1 species
AUUGAACGCUGGCGGCAUGCCUUACACAUGCAAGUCGAACGGUAACAGGUCUUCGGAUGCUGACGAGUGGCGAACGGGUGAGUAAUACAUCGGAACGUGCCUAGUAGUGGGGGAUAACUACUCGAAAGAGUGGCUAAUACCGCAUGAGAUCUACGGAUGAAAGCAGGGGAUCGCAAGACCUUGUGCUACUAGAGCGGCCGAUGGCAGAUUAGGUAGUUGGUGGGAUAAAAGCUUACCAAGCCGACGAUCUGUAGCUGGUCUGAGAGGACGAUCAGCCACACUGGGACUGAGACACGGCCCAGACUCCUACGGGAGGCAGCAGUGGGGAAUUUUGUACAAUGGGCGCAAGCCUGAUCCAGCAAUGCCGCGUGCAGGAUGAAGGCCUUCGGGUUGUAAACUGCUUUUGUACGGAACGAUAAGCCCUGGGUUAAUACCCUGGGGUCAUGACGGUACCGUAAGAAUAAGCACCGGCUAACUACGUGCCAGCCGCCGCGGUAAUAC